AUGGUGACGCACACAUCGAGCAACAUCGACCGGGCGCGGGUGCUGGAUCUGGUCGCCGUUUGGAGGUCCGGUACUAAUCUCCGACGAGUUCCUUGCGCAGAUCUGAAGAGGGGUGCCUCGAUCUGCCACACCAGAAGGCUUCGGCCGGAUUGGCAGGCUUGUGACCAGGGUUGCGCUCUAGAGCCCCGAUGUCGAGCUCGUCGCCGUCAAGGACCCCUUCAUCACCACCGACUACAUGGUUUCGGCCAGAUCGGCAGGCUUGUGGCCAGGGUUGCGCUCGAGAGCACCGAUGUCGAGCUCGUCGCCGUCAACGACCCCUUCAUCACCACCGACUACAUGACCUACAUUUUCAAGUAUGACACUGUCAACGGACAGUGGAAGCACCAUUAA
rnacentral:rRNA from 1 species